rnacentral:ncRNA from 2 species
CAUAAGCUAUACAACUGACGGAAGUGGAGUACCACAUGAAGUAUAGCGGACGCGUUCAGCGUCUUAAUGCCGACCGUCUGGGCGCACGGA